AGUUCCUUUCAACAGCGUUCUCAUCAGGGGUCGAUAAACAGGAUUAUUCUGGAAGGAUGUUCGCAUUUUGUUUGUUCCGUUUAAGAUUCUUCCGUAUUUCCCUGAUUUGACGGCAGGCAGGCUUUUAUUUUGAAGAUGUAGGACUGUGCAGAUAGACUGUUUUGUUGUCUGAGGAGCUUCUGAACUGUUGGAGAACCAGAACGUUCCGACGGAGUUCUGCUGCUUAACUCGAAGGUUUUCCUGAUGGAGUCUCUGCCGGUGAGGAGGAGGUCAUGUCUGCUGCGGCUCAGAGAGAACUGUCCUUUCAGGAACCUCCGCAGGAGAACUUACGAUGUGUCAGCAGCAGCCUCCUCUCAAACUGGUCCAAACUGGAAUAACAUCAGGCUGCCCGCUACCAACCAGCCAAUCAGCACAAUCUAUUCUCCAGACGAAUCAGAGGCCAGCGUUGACAUGGAAGAAAGUCCUCCACCUGUAGAAAAUCAGCAGAACCAGCAGCAGAAUCAGCAGAACCAACAGCACAAUCCAGACAACAGAGAUGAAGAUUGUAUGGGUGAAACUCGAUGAUGUUGACCCUGAAACUGGAGAGCGAGCACAAGGAUGACCCCGUCCCUACCUGUCAGUCACUGCUGCCCCGCCCCCAUACAGAUACACCUGGAUUUGUCUCUGUGUUUUACCAUGAAUACAAGGAACUUGAAAGCUGAGAGAUUUAACUUUUUCCCUGCUGUCACCUGAAUCACCUGUGCUCACCUGCAGCAGGUGUCUGAAGUUCCCAACAGACUUUAAUAUGGUUGUAUCUAAAACGGUCAACCUCUAGUUUAAAUGUCUGUCUUCUGACAGAAUUAAUUUCAGGUCUGAUGUUCUCCUAUAAACAGUUAUCAGUUGUUGAUUUGUAAACUAUUGAUAAUCAGGUUGAAUGAGAAAGUCCUCUAGGUGUGAUGCUCUGAGGUCACAGAUGAACUUGUGAGUUUUAAUGUUGGAUGUGUUUCCAGCUGAUAUUGUUAUUGUCUUGUGAUAAAGUUCAUCUGAGUAAAAAAAUAAAUAAUAUUUGGUAACCUGUGUCAUUUCUUAAUAUACAGCAACAUGGUGGCUCAGCCUGAUGUGAUUUCAGGCAAAGAAUAGUCUGUCAUUAAACAUCUGUCUAACAUCUG
ensembl:lncRNA